CUUCCGUAGGGUGAACCUGCGGAAGGAUCAUUAC
rnacentral:rRNA from 3 species